UUUUUCAUUAAGUUGAGGUUGGACCAGUCCGGUGGUGAUCACUGGAGAAGAUAUCUGGAGCUAGGGCUCCAGUGGUGCGUUGGCAAGUCCCAAGCCAUCUGAUCUUGUUCCAAUGUUUUAAUCUUAGCCCUUGCUUUUGCAUACCACGCGUGUACACACGUUGAUUAAAGCGUUGGUGAAAUGCGUGCUUCUAGCCAUCAGAUUUGUCACCUUAAUUAAUGAGGGAGAUCUGAUGGCCCUUGUUUUUUUAAUUUCUGAUUUUAUGUUUAAU
rnacentral:lncRNA from 1 species